rnacentral:rRNA from 1 species
CCUACGGGAGGCAGCAGUGGGGAAUUUUGGACAAUGGGCGCAAGCCUGAUCCAGCAAUGCCGCGUGAGUGAAGAAGGCCUUCGGGUUGUAAAGCUCUUUUGUCAGGGAAGAAACGGUGGGGGCUAAUAUCUCCUACUAAUGACGGUACCUGAAGAAUAAGCACCGGCUAACUACGUGCCAGCAGCCGCGGUAAUACGUAGGGUGCAAGCGUUAAUCGGAAUUACUGGGCGUAAAGCGUGCGCAGGCGGUUUUGUAAGUCUGUCGUGAAAGCCCCGGGCUCAACCUGGGAAUUGCGAUGGAGACUGCAAGGCUUGAAUCUGGCAGAGGGGGGUAGAAUUCCACGUGUAGCAGUGAAAUGCGUAGAGAUGUGGAGGAACACCGAUGGCGAAGGCAGCCCCCUGGGUCAAGAUUGACGCUCAUGCACGAAAGCGUGGGGAGCAAACAGGAUUAGAUACCCUGGUAGUCCACGCCCUAAACGAUGUCUACUAGUUGUCGGGUUUUAAUUAACUUGGUUAACGCAGCUAACGCGUGAAGUAGACCGCCUGGGGAUACGGUCGCAAGNUUAAAACUCAAAUGAAUUGACCGGNUGAGAGNGCGAGACGACGACGAGGGAGGAGG